UGUUAAUCUGAACAGCAGUAGUUGCAGCAGAUUAAUUAGACAGCACUAGUUAUGCUUGCUGUUAUUUAGUUGAACCUAGAUGCAUGCAUGAAAAAGAAAAGUAGCUACAUUAGCAUUUGUUUGUUCUAGCAGUAUGUAUUUCAAGGAUACUGCCCAUUGUCCUUUGUCUAUAAUGUAGUGUUGAUGUUAAAACCAAAUGUCUUGCCGUGAGCAUUGUGAGCUUUAUUUUACUUUGGUUCUAAUAUUUAGCUUAAUGUUUUCUGAGCUUGCUAGACCAUGUCAACACACGUGGACAAGCAAGGACGCAGCACGCCGGCGACUGGGCGUCAGACACCAAGAUGAAUUGCAAGGGACCCACUGAGGGAAAGUGGCGUUUUAUCUGGUCUGGCGGCCAUGCAUUGCCGGGUCCGUUGGAUCCAUCGACGAGCAGCCACGAUCACUUCGUGAAUGCCCUGUAGCACGUCUACUUCGAGCAGGAAGGAGGCCUUGACCUGGUUGUUGUGCUGCAGAGCAGCUCGUUCGGGUAUGAUGAUUUUUUCUGCCUGGGUUCACCGCCGACGACAUGUCGCUGGCACUGCCAUUCUGCUCGGCCAGGACUUGAGCAUGUGCGAGAAAUUCAUUGCUGCUACACUCUCCUUUGAUGAAGUCAUGUUUAAUCUGGUGCUGUGAUUUAUGCACAUGUUGGUGGUGUAAACGAUAUUGCAUUCGCCCAUCCAAAUAAGCAGCUAUGUAUAAUUACCUGUGCAGAUGAUAAGACAAUAAAGGUAUGGGAGGCCACUAGUUGAGCAAGACAGUGUACCUUUUUGAAGGUCAUGUAGCUCGUGAAGCUCAUGUUUAUUCAGUUGGUCCACAUUAUAAGGACAAUAUUCAGUUCAUCUUUUCAACUGAUUUAGAUGGAAAGAUAGCGGUAUGUGGAAGAUUAUGGAGAUAGCUUAUACUGAUCAGUGCUGAUCAUUAAAACUGGGUGAUAAUCAUGGGACAACUAUAGUCAAAAGCAAUAUUAGGGGGCACUCUAAGAAAAACUUACCGGUCUCGCCUUUUCAAAUGCGUUAAAUGUGUUGGUAUUCUCUGGAGCUCAUGCCCAGGUUCUGACUGCUACGUCCACUGUCUGAUAUGGGCUGUGCAAGGAGCACACUGGCCCACCAGAUCGCGUCAUCAGUCGGAGCAGAAGUGGCAUUGCAGCUUGCCAGCCCGUGGCGCCGCAGAAACACUUUUGCUGGCGUCGACGCUGGGCAGCGACCUCUAGCUUGGACCUAGCUGGCUACCCAAGCAUGCUGCAGCUGCUCCCUGUCUUCAUCGAGACUUGGUGAAAAUGUACUCUGAGUACAUAUAUUUCCCCAUUUAAAGAGGUUGAUGUUUAAGUGCCAGCUCACAAGGAGUAAUCAAGUGAAGAAGAAGAUACAUCCACAGAUACUACAGGAAGUAAAGACAGAAGAUGGUGAAGAUAAAAAACCCCAGAGCAUGCGGGUAUUUUAUGAAUACCUUCGCAUGCUCUCAUACUUCCAUUUCGGCAAACUCUCAGAUUAGGACGAAGAAGUGGAGCUGUAGCUGGCCAGGAGGGAGCCAUGUCCGCUGAAUCUGACGUGACCCGACAAUUAUAGCAUUCAGAAGGGGAUCCAUGUCCGCCGAACCAGCGUAACUGUAGAUUACCCUGGUCUCGUGGUCGUUGGGUCCUCACGGCCGGCGUCGGCGAAGGGCAAAAGGCUUCAACCUUUCGGCGUUGCGGCAUAUGCUGGUGUCCAGGUUCGAUGUGAGGCUUGUCCAGUUCCGGUCAAAGCUGUCCCGGUCAGCAAUCAGGGCGAUGGCUGAUGCCUUGGUGGUGGCAUUGUUGCUGGGCAGCGUCCAUGUCUGCGGUAGAUAGGACGGGUGUUCUGCAGUCCCUAAUCGACCUAUUGUAGCUCGUUUUCUUCUACGAGGCAAUACGUGUUGCAGAUCAGCAUCAAUCAGGAUCUCAUUUUUUUCAGCAGCACAUGUUUCGGCUCCAGGGUAUCCGGUGGCACACCGGGCAUACCCUGCAAGUACUCAUUUUGAAAUGCUGAUCUGUGACACCAUCAAGUCUUGCAAUUCUGGUGACAUCUUUUCUGUGAAUGCUGAUUUCCAAGAUGCGUGGCUAGUCUUUGGUUCACACGAAUGAUAUGUAUUUGGUUUUGUUUGUGCUUCCUAGUUGAGCAAAAUAUUUGGUCUCUAGAGAAUCAAUCUUGGUAUUGAAGUUGUUCCUUUUGUUUAAGUCCCAGAAAGAUUAGGGUGCUUUUCGUUCUGUAUGUCAGUAUGUGUUCCGUUGGUUCAGGUUUAAGGUUGACGUACUGACCUGUAGCUCAUAAGUUGUGUUGCUAUGAAAUUGACAUGUAGGCCUAGUAUUUCUGGUAAGCCACUGUUUGAUGGUUUUGUUUUUGAUUUACAGGUAGUGAGGAGAUCAAGACUUAAAGUAACUAGGUUCUUGUAAUCUAGUAAUAUGCUGCUGUGGUGAUUCUUGUAAUAAUCAAUCGAAUUGUAAAUUGUGAUACUGUAGAUGGCAACUUGUAACUGUUGUUUCCUCUGUAAUUUUGAUCAGCAUUUCCAUCUCUAUAUGAAAUGGUGAGUUGAAUUC